rnacentral:lncRNA from 1 species
UCGGAAUCCGCGGGCCUGCCCUGCUCUCCCCGCGGACCUCGGACCUCGAAGUGCCUCAAGCGCAGACGAGCCCCGGCCUUCUGAGCGAACAAAGCGCCUAGCACGGCCUGCCUUCAACACUGAUGCAAUGCCUAAGGCGUACCAGACACUGCGCUAUUUUACACGGACCAUCUCAUGUAAUUUUCAAAGCCAAGAACAGCAGGGGAUGCAGAGUGAAGGAAGAUUAACGCAGGCCAGGAGGAAGCCGGGCAAGGAAGGUGGAGAUCUGGCGCUGGGAGCAUUGAGAGGCCACCGCCCAGCAGGAUGCAGACUAGAGGAAGAAGAUGCCAACCUGGCCCCCUACGACCUCACUGGACCUCGCGUGGAGGAAAAGAGACAAAUCUUUGCACGACACUAUGUUGUGAUACUGGAAAGUACCUAAGACUCCGGUAGCACAUAUGAGGGAGUGAGUACCUCUACUUGGGUGGUUCAGGAAAGAAGUUUGGCCUCAAAGGAGGAACAAGGGUUCACCAGAAAGAUGGAGUAGAAGGGCAUUCCCGAAGGGGCAUGGAAUGGAGGCUGCAGCAUCAAAGCACCAUUUGGCCUGGCUUCUUUUUUGUCAUGCAGGUAUCAGCUUAAAUGUAUGUAACCUCUUCAACGUGGCUUUCUCUGACCACCUACUCCACAAGAAUGCUCCCUACCAGCAUUUGGUUCGAUCCCCUUUUUAGAAUUUAUCUAUUUUUUACCUACAUUUGUUUUUCUGUCUACCUCCCCGCCACAGACACCCCUGAAAAUAAACUCCAUAAGCCUGUGG